rnacentral:lncRNA from 1 species
CCCCCAUUGAUACCGAUCCAAACACUUCACCAACACACCCAAUCAGUAGGAGCGACGGGCGGUGUGUACAAAGGGCAGGGACGUAAUCAACGCGAGCUGAUGACUCGCGCUUACUAGGCAUUCCCCGUUGAAGACUCAUAAUUGCAAUAAUCUAUCCCCAUCACGAUGCAGUUUCAAAGAUUACCCGGACCUCUCGGCCAAGGAUAGGCUCGUUGAAUGCAUCAGUGA